rnacentral:rRNA from 1 species
UUGACCUCAAAUCAGGUAGGACUACCCGCUGAACUUAAGCAUAUCAAUAAGCGGAGGAAAAGAAACUAACGAGGAUUCCCCUAGUAACUGCGAGUGAAGCGGGAAAAGCUCAAAUUUGAAAUCUGGCGGUCUUUGUGGCUGUCCGAGUUGUAAUCUAGAGAAGUGCUUACCUGUGCUGGACCGUGUAAAAGUCUCCUGGAAUGGAGCAUCAUAGAGGGUGAGAAUCCCGUCUUUGACAUGGACUGCCUGUACGUCAAGGUGCGCUCUCGAAGAGUCGAGUUGUUUGGGAAUGCAGCUCAAAAUGGGUGGUAAAUGCCAUCUAAAGCUAAAUAUUGGCGAGAGACCGAUAGCGAACAAGUACCGUGAGGGAAAGAUGAAAAGAACUUUGGAAAGAGAGUUAAACAGUAUGUGAAAUUGCUGAAAGGGAAACGCUUGAAGUCAGUCACGUUUGCUGGAAAUCAGUCUUGCUUUUGCUUGGUGUACUUUCCUGUCGACGGGUCAGCAUCAGUUUUGACCAUUGGAUAAGGGUGAUGGGAAUGUGGCAUCCUUGGAUGUGUUAUAGCCCAUUAUCGCAUACGGUGGUUGGGAUUGAGGAACUCAGCACGCCCGCAAGGGCAGGGUCUUCUGACCACGACUCGUGCUUAGGAUGCUGGCAUAAUGGCUUUAAUCGACCCGUC